rnacentral:rRNA from 1 species
GUUUAUGCCUGUGUAUACCCUAAAAGGCACAAAAUCCCAUGUGAUCUUAGAAGUUAAGCAGGGUUUGUCCUGUUUGGUACAUAGAUGGGAGACUAUCAACAAAUACCAGGUGCUCUAAGCA